ensembl:lncRNA
CCAUCUCCACAGAGACACGGCCCAUGACCCAGAGUGCCAUACCAGCUCGGAGAGGCUCAGCCAUCCGGCUGUGUCAGAGCAGCCCUGUUCCCAAAAAUCAGUCGUUUCACAUGUACCAUUAAGACUACAGAUCAAAGUGAACGGACAGAGAGGAGGACUGGGAAUUUGUAUUGCUGGAGGGAAAGGCUCCUUGCCGUACAAACACAAUGAUGAGGGUAUUUUCAUCUCCAGAGUGUCUACAGGCGGACCGGCGGAGAAGGCUGGGGUUCAUGUUGGGGACAGAGUGCUGGAGGUCAAUGGCCAAGACAUGCAGGAGGUCAGCCACCAUGAGGCUGUCAGCAUCCUGAGGAAUGCUGGGAGCUGCAUAAAAAUGAAAGUGCUACGGGAGAGAAGCAUGCCAGUGGAGCCUUGGCUGCAUGAGAGGAAUGACACCAUGGAAACAGCAGACCCCCAGGUCAGCCAAGAGUGGGAUGUUGCCAUGAGCAAUAACAGAUCAAGUGGCCCACAGUCCUCCACUGAUCCCAUGCUGGACUGCAGCCCAAUGACCAACAGGAUGGAAGCUACUGUCUGCAAUGGAAAUGGACUGGAUGAUCCAAUACAGGACUUACGGCUGACAAAAGACAUGGAGACCUUCAAAAACAAUGCCCUACAGGUUGUGAAAAAUACUAUGACGAUACCUCGGAUUAUUCUGACUCACCCCUCUACCUCAGAUGAGGACGUGGAGCCCCUGACGCAGGGCCCAGAUGACGGAGAUUUUGAUUCUGACUUCAGCGACUCGGACAGUCACAUCUACUCGGACUGCUUGAACAGCGCUUUCUAUCCUCUGUGAAAGAUAGAGAAGUACACAGACUCCAGGUGUGCCUGUGUCCUUCGGUAAAGUGAAAUUGUUCUAGCUGUGGUCCACAAUCGCCGGAGCAGAAAACGAGUGGCGCGCGAUCGAUACUUCAGGCAAAGUCCACAGUAACAUGAUGCACUGUUUAGAACACCAUUGUGUGAAAGUGAUGUAGAGGAAGUGGG